AUUGAACGCUGGCGGCAGGCCUAACACAUGCAAGUCGAGCGAGCGGCGGACGGGUGAGUAAUGUAUGGGGACUGCCCGAUAGAGGGGGAUAACUACUGGAAACGGUGGCUAAUACCGCAUACUAUCGGAUAACCCAUAUGGGAUUAGCUAGUAGGUGGGGUAAAGGCUCACCUAGGCGACGAUCUCUAGCUGGUCUGAGAGGAUGAUCAGACAAACUGGGACUGAGACAAGGCGCAGACUCCGACGGAGGCAGCAGAGGGGAAAAUUGCACAAGGGGCGCAAGCCUGAGGAAGCCAAGCCGCGUAUAUAAAGACGUCCUUAGGGUUGUAAAAUAAUUUCAGAGGGGAGGCGUUACCCGCAGAAGAAGAACCGGCUAACUCCGUGCCAACAGCCGCGGUAAUUC
rnacentral:rRNA from 1 species